GAGUGUUCAAAGCAGGCAGAUUUAACCAUUCUGCCACCGAAUACAUUAGCAUGGGAUAAUGAAAUAGGACCCUGUCCUCCUAUUUACGUGUUGGUUUUUGAGGACCAGGGUAAUGAUUAAUAGGGAUAGUUGGGGGCAUUAAUAUUUAAUUGUCAGAGGUGAAAUUCUUGGAUUUAUGAAAGAUUAACUUCUGCGAAAGCAUCUGCCAAGGAUGUUUUCAUUAAUCAAGAACGAAAGUUAGGGGAUCGAAGACGAUCAGAUACCGUCGUAGUCUUAACCAUAAACGAUGCCGACCAGCGAUUAGGAGACGUUGAAUACAAAACACCAUCCAUUUAGCAAGGUCGUUUUCAAAUAUUCCUUUUUGCGAAGGUUGUUUGGGAACGAUUCGUCCUGAUGGAUCUGGUGAAUGACUCCCCUAGCAGCUUGUGAGAA
rnacentral:rRNA from 1 species